rnacentral:tRNA from 1 species
ACCACGAUGGCCGAGAGGUUAAGGCGUUGGACUUAAAAUCCAAUGGACAUAUGUCCUCGUGGGUUCGAACCCCACUCCUGGUA